ensembl:Y_RNA Y_RNA Y RNA
GGCUGGUCCGAAGGUAGUGAGUCAUCUCAAUUGCUUGUUCACGGUCAGUUAGAUUGAACUACUUGUUCUACUCUUUUCCCCCUUUCACUAUUGCACUUGACUAGUCUUAA